GUUGGAUGGGGCAGCAGCAGGGGGUGCUGCGAGGAGUCACUUUCGGGUGUUGGAAGGCAGCAGCAGAGGGCGCUGUGAGGACUCAGUUUGGAGUCUUAAUGUCAUAAACAGAUAGUUAAGGGUUAAUGUCUCUUUUAUCUGUAAAGGGUUAACAAACAGGAAACCAAACACCUGACCAGGGGACCAAUCAGGAGACAAGAUACUUUCAAAUCUUGGUGGAGGGAAGCCUUUGUUUGUGUUUUUUGGGUUUGGCUUUGAUCUCUCUGGGCUCUGAGAGUGACCACACGUACCUACAGGCUCUCUAAUCUUCUAUUCCAAUUUUGAUUUCUCCUUCCCAAGCCUGACCCAAUCACCCGGCUGGAAUGAGAGGAAGAGCCGUGGGUGCCCAAUCUCCAGGCCAGUGAGGAAAGAGGGAUCCCGAGAGGCGCCCACACAGCACAAUGACUUCUGUCUGGAUUGUCUCUCUCCCAGCAGUUGAUGAGAGAGUGAGUGAGAACGAGGAGGGGAAUCAACAGCAGGAAGUUCCUGGGCACGGGGAAUAGCAGGGAACCUCUGUGGGAAGACCCCAUAAGUGCUUCGACUGUGGAAAAAGUUUCAUAUGGAGGUUAACCCUACUUGAUCAUCAGGCAAUCCACACAGGAGAGAAAUCCCAUAAAUGUUUGGACUGUGGGAAAAGUUU